rnacentral:rRNA from 1 species
AGAAUCAACGCUGGCGGCGUGCCUCAGACAUGCAAGUCGAACGAUUAAACUUUCCCUCGGGAAAGAUAUAAAGUGGCGCACGGGUGAGUAACACGUAAGUAAUCUACCUCGGGGUGGGGAAUAACGUUCGGAAACGAACGCUAAUACCGCAUAAUGCAGCGGCUCCUUAUGAAGACAGUUGUUAAAGCAUUUAUGUGCCUGGAGAGGAGCUUGCGGCAGAUUAGCUAGUUGGUAAGGUAAUGGCUUACCAAGGCGACGAUCUGUAGCCGACCUGAGAGGGUGGUCGGUCACACUGACACUGAAUAACGGGUCAGACUCCUACGGGAGGCAGCAGUCGGGAAUUUUGGGCAAUGGGCGAAAGCCUGACCCAGCAACGCCGCGUGAAGGAUGAAGUAUUUCGGUAUGUAAACUUCGUAAAAAUGGGAAGAAUAAAUGACGGUACCAUUUGUAAGGUCCGGCUAACUACGUGCCAGCAGCCGC